rnacentral:rRNA from 1 species
GUGCCAGCAGCCGCGGUAAUACGUAGGGGGCUAGCGUUAUCCGGAAUUACUGGGCGUAAAGGGUGCGUAGGUGGUUUCUUAAGUCAGAGGUGAAAGGCUACGGCUCAACCGUAGUAAGCCUUUGAAACUGGGAAACUUGAGUGCAGGAGAGGAGAGUGGAAUUCCUAGUGUAGCGGUGAAAUGCGUAGAUAUUAGGAGGAACACCAGUUGCGAAGGCGGCUCUCUGGACUGUAACUGACACUGAGGCACGAAAGCGUGGGGAGCAAACAGGAUUAGAUACCCUGGUAGUCC